AUAUUUGCUUAGCGAAGUCGACUUGCCAUUCCAUUGCAAAGGAAGCAGCCUGUGACUGUGUAACCAUUACAGCUGUGAUGAUGAAAUGGUGAAGAACUGCCUCUCAGUCAAACAGUGCACCCAGAGAUAAGGCUGUUUCCAAAGCCUCUGCUGCUGCUGCUUCUGAUCGGUGGUAACUGCUCUUCUCAGGCAGCUACACUUAGCAUGAUAAUGUGCUAGGUGCUGGGGCUGCAGACAUGAGCGGGACCUGGUCCUUACCCUCUGCUACUGAGUACUGGUCAGACAUAGGAGGAUCGUCGGUGCACAGGACAUGAUCAUCAUGGCGGCUGCAUUGCUGAUUCUUUUUGGGGCCACGGUGAUAUUGCAAGCAGACUUACUUCCUGAUAAAAAAUUUGUGCUUCUUCCACCUGUCAAUUUCACCAUUAAGAUCACUGGUUUGGCUCAAGUUCUUUUACGCUGGGAGCCAGAUCCUCAUCAAGAGCAAAGGAAUGUUAAUCUCGGAUACAGGGUGAGAAUAAAUGCACCACAAGAAGAUGAUUAUGAAACCAGGGACACUGAAAGCCAAUGUGUAACGAUCCUUCAUAAGGGCUUUUCAGCAAGUGUGCAGACCAUCUUUUGGAAUGAACACUCACUGCCUGCCAGCAGCUGGGUUUCUGCAGAAAUGAAAGAUCCACCAGGGUCUCCUGGAACCUCAAUUGCGAAUUUAACUUGUACCACAAACACUGUAGAAAAUAAUUAUGUGCACUUGAGGCGAUACCAGGUGUCUCUUCGCUGCACCUGGCUUGUUGGCCAGGAUGCCCCUGAGGAUACACAGUAUUUCCUCUACUAUAGGUAUGGCUCUUGGACUGAAGAAUGCCAAGAAUACAACAAAGACACACUGAAGAGGAAUACUGCAUGCUGGUUUCCAAGGACUUUUAUCAAUAGCAAAGGGCGAGACAGGCUUGUGGUGCAUGUGAAUGGAUCAAGCAGGCAUGCUGCAAUCAAACCGUUUGAUCAACUAUUUGAUCUUCAUGCCAUUGACCGAGUAAAUCCUCCAAUGAAUGUCACAGCAGAGAUUGAAGGAACUUGUCUCUCUAUCCAAUGGGAGAAACCAGUUUCUGCAUUUCCAAUCCACUGCUUUCAUUAUGAAGUUAAGAUUUACAACAUAAGGAAGGAUUAUGUUCAGAUAGAAAAAAUGAUGAUCAAUUCCUUCAUCUCGGUAAUUGACGAUAUCUCUAAGUAUUCAGUUCAAGUGAGAGCAGCAGUGGGCUCUCUGUGCAGGGAAAUGGGACACUGGAGUGAGUGGAGUCAACCUAUUUAUGUGGGAAAUGAUGAGCCGACAUCUUCGCUAGAAUGGUUUAUCAUUGCAUUGAUGGCAGCCAUCUGCUUCGUCUUGUUAAUUUUCUCCUUCAUCUGCAGAAUUUGUCACGUAUGGACCAAGUUGUUUCCACCAGUUCCAGCGCCUAAAAGCAACAUUAAAGAUCUCUUUGUAAGCACCAACUACGAGGUAAUAGUGGAUGUUCUCAUGGUAUGGCAUAUGUCCCCAGAGCCGGGUUCCCAGGAACAGUCAUUAGGUAACUGGUUUUGCAUAUUAUGAGGCAGAGUUUUUACCCAGGAGACCAGGAAUCUUUCAUUGCUUCAGACGUUCACCCUUUUGCUACAUAUAUUCAUUACUGUUUUUACCUAUUGGAAAGGUCCUUCCUACUCGAUUCUGACUGUCCUCGCCAGUUAGACUUGAAUUUUAAUUUCAUAUUCGCCAUCUCUUUACUGACAUUGAACAACUCUGUCAACUCUGUAAGCUUCGUUUUCCUUUUCUGUAUAGUAAGCGGCAUGGAUGAGAUAGUCCAAGGUCCUGCUUAGCUCUAAUGUUUUAAGAGUCUGUGUUGUUACAUGCAGGUACCCUUAUCAAAAAGGAAUUUUCAGGGGAAGUUUAGCUUCUUAGUAUAUAGAAUCACAGAGAAAGCAAGUAAUGAUUUCCCCAAAUAUGCAGUUUUUAGAUCCUAUUCACCAUUCAGGGGCCCUGGUGACUUAGCGCUUAAAGCACUCGGCUGCUAACCAAAAGAUCGGUGGUUGGAAUCCACAAACUGCUCUGCAGGAGAAAGAUGUGGCAGUCUGUUUCCGUGAAGAUCUACAGCCUUGGAAAGCCUAUAGGGAGUUCUACUCUGUUCUACAGAGUCGCUAUGAGUUGGAAUUGACUCGAUGCACGGUGGGUUUGGCUUUUUCACCAUUCGGAGCACUUAGGCUAAACUAAAUGGUAACUAUCCAAUUAUUUCAGCACCUUUUAUUGAAAACAAUCAUCCUUUCCUCGGUGGGUAGCCUUGGCAACCUUACCAAAAAUCAGUUGUCCACAUACGUGUGGGUCUAUUUCUGGACUCUGUUCAGUCUUAUUGAUCUAUUAGCCUAUCUUUACACCAAUACCAUGCUGUCCUCAUAACUGUAGCUUUACAGCAAACCUUGACACCAAGUAGUAUAAGGCUUCCAAAACUGAUUUUUUCUGUUUCAAAGUAUUUUGGCUAUUCUAUGUCCUUCGCAUUUCCAUAUAAAUUUUCGAGUCAGCGUAACAACUUCUACAAAAGGCUGCUGAGAUUUUGAUUGGGAUUUUGUUGAAUUAUAGAUUAAUUUGGGGAGAAGUUACAUCUUAACAAUAUUGAGUCUUCUGAUCUGUGAACAUGGUACAUCUCCCCAUUUACUUAGGUUUUCUGUAAUUUCUCCCAGCAACGUUUUGUCAUUUUUAGUGUACAGUUCUUGCGCAUCGUUUGUCAAAUUUAUCCCUAAACUGAUGGGUAAUUUAGAUCAGGAGUCAGGAAGCAUUUUCUGUAAAGAGCAAGAUAGUAAAUAUUUGAGGACCAAAUGAUUUUUGUCAAAACUACUUGAUUCUGCCAUUGUAAUGUCAAAGCAGUCAGUGGUAAUAUGGAAAUGAAUGAGCAUGGCUGAGUUCAAAUAACACUUUAUUGACAAAAACAGGGGACAAGCUAUAUUUGGCCCAUGUGCUGUACUUUCCUGAUCCCUGAUUUAAAUCAAGCAAUUUUCUUAACAAAUUCAGUUUUCUCUCUGAUGAAGUGGCUCGUGAUUGGAUGAACCAGUUGGUGACUGGCUGUGGUGAUAGGAAAAUGUAGACUGACAACUCACCAAAAUGAAAGCUGGCUCCAACGAAACAGAAAUUGAAGACAUAAGUUACGUAGAAGAGGCUGGAUUUGAGAUUCUGGAAGAUUCUGUGUUUUGAUUGUCACUGUGGCAAUCUCAUCUGAACUCACACUCACAUGCCUGGGUGAUAAGAAGAAUGCUGUUUCUUGGCUAAGGGGUGUUUGGAGUUUACUGAACACUCAAUCUAGCUGGAAGACAAUACAACCCAAAGUACCAGUCUUGUAUCUUUGAAAAGUGUGGAUGCUUCAUCAAAAUCUCCUCAGUCACAGCAGGUGAUUGCAAGUGAGCAUUCUCCCAUGUUUUUCCUCCCCACCCUGGACCAGGCAGCACUUCUUCAACGCCAGUCUUUGAGAUUUGCACUACUUACCACAGACUUUUUUUGUGUAAGACACUGUUUUUAAGACGGACGUCAACUGUACUUACUUCUGGUGGUGCCAGUGUGGCUGCUUAAGCUGCCAAUGGUAAUACUCAGCUACAAUCUCAGGAAGAAAGCAUUCUGCACCAGCCUGGAGUGAAUCACGAACUUGGAUUCAAGACUGUCUUUCCUGUAGCAGUUGGGUGCCACAAAUUCAUGGUACUUUUAUUAUUUUUUUGUAAGUGCUGAAACAUUUUUUCUUUCAAGCAGUAUGUGUGUGUGUGUGUAUGAGAGAGAGAGAAAGAUUGAGAUUAUCUCCAGCUCCAUAGGCCUGAUCCAAUUAGCAUCAUUUCAAACAAAUUUAAAAACAUAAAGAGCUAAGAUAUCACCCCAUAUCAAAAGAGAGGGUAAGAUUUUGUUUCAAGAUUAUAUUCUUGAAGGAAGCCUUGAUAUCCUGGGUUUAUACUGAGAAUGGCAUCCAGUGGAAUUGGCUAUAAAGGGGAUUACUGGAUAAUGAAUUUUCUGAGAGAUAUUUGGUGGCAAAGACUUCAGAGCCAUCUUUGGAGCAUCUGGUCAAGCAGUACUAGGUGGAGCCCAGCCUCUUAGGCUUGGAAGGGGUCUUAGAGGGCAUCAUAUCAAGGAUUCCAAUCUACACAAUCUACACAGGAAUUCUGCCACCCAAUACCGUCAUAUAUGAGUCUGCAGAUCCAUUGGAAGCCUUUGUGAUGAUGGGGGACACGCUGCAGGUAGGAUUGUGUGCAAAUGUGGCCUAUACAGGGAUGGGGCAGGAGGAACCAAAAGGUGCUGGUUCCAUCUGGCCCCGAGGAAAGGAGCUUAAGACAGGGAAAGGAGGUAAGAGUGCUCAGAAUCUCCAUCAUGGCACACUCUGUAUAUACUUACCAGAGUUGAUAUAUUCAGUUUUGACCCAAGAACUGGCACUCAUUAACUUCGAAACACCUUCUGGGGUGAUUUUUUUAUUAGCCCAUAACCAUUCUCGUAGCUAAAAGAGAGUUGGGCCCAGUAUACUACAGCCUGGAAGUCAUGACAACUCUCAGUUUUGGGGUGCCUCCCAAGUGUCCGGUGCUUAAUCAGACACUUCACAUACAUCAUCUCUAAUCCUGAUAAGCCUGCACAGUUGGUAUUACUACUCAUUUUACAAUGCAGUCACUGAGGUUCAGAGAGGUUGUCCCAUAGGAAAUGGCAUAGCUAGGAGGUGAGUACCAAGACUAAGUGCCUCUAAUAAUAUGGAAGAGAUUGUUAGGAAAAAGUUGGAGCCUGAGGCCUACUUAGGGGUGGGACUCAGAGAGGACGGCCUACGGAGGUGCUGCACUGACUGACAAAAUGUUUGAUUGCUCCAAAUCAGAAUCUCUGUGAGUGGAGUUCAAGAACCUGCAUUUUUAAUGAGUUCCCUGGGUCACUGUUUUCAAAAAUGAGCUGCAUCAGAAUCACUUGGAGGGCUUGUUAAAACACAGGUUACUAGGCCCCAUUGCCAGGGUUUCCGAUUGAGUGAGUAGGUCUGGGGUGGGGCCUGAGAAUUUGAAUUUCUCAACAAGUUGCCAGGUGAUGCUGAUGUUGCUGGUCUGGGGCUAUACUUUGAGAAUCGCUGCCCUGGGUGAUUCUUACGAAUAUCAAAAUUUGAAAACCCACUGCUUAAGUGAGUGAUAGCAAAAGCCUACCAAAACAAACAAACAAAAGCAACUAUACUAUUUCUGGCUUAGAGCUCCUGUGUAGUCAAUUUCUUAUCAGAGCCUAGAAACUUGGAUUGGGGAAAUCACCCUUGCCAAGAAGGCUGAAAGGAAGAGGAAAGAAGUUGUCUCACAAUGUGGCCAGUUCUUUGGCUGGUUGUGUGGUGUUUACUUCCAAGAAGCCUCCUUCGGCCUCACCAGCCAGCAAUCAUCUGGGCCCCCACCACACGCCCAGCACCCUUACCCAAGCAGGAACACCCCUUUGGCUCUCAAUGUGUUGGUCAAGAGCAACACACAGCAGCCCAUGUGACUUCCCAAUGGAUUGUGAACUUCCUCUUCCUCACUUCUUGUGAAACUCAUACUCAUUCUUUGGGAACCCAUAUCCAAAGUCACCUCCUCUGUGAAGCCUUCAAAAUCAGAGUUGUUUGAUCCUGCCCUGGGUUCUCAUUCUGUGCCUCAUCGCCUUUCCUGGACCUACUCCAUUAUUGUCGUUAGAUGCUGUCAUGUAUUGAAUUGUGUCCCCCAAAAAUAUCUGUCAACUUGGUUGGGUCAUGAUUCCUAGUAUUGUAUGA